AUAAAAUUAGUUUAUAUAAAACACUAAUUUGUCAAAUUAGAAAAAUUAAAUUUUAAUAUUUUAUA
rnacentral:tRNA from 1 species